UCUCUCUCUCUCUAUAUAUAUAUACACAAAUUAAUACAUAAUGAAGGAUUUGAUAAAUAUUGAUUAAGAACAAGAGUCCAAAGAAAUGAACGAAGCACCAAAAUAUGCUUCUCCUUAUCCUGCCCACGGUCAGUAUGAGGGGCCGCCGGUGAUGGCGCCUCCGCAGUAUUACGCUGCGCCGCCUCCAUCCAGAAAACCAGGUCUUCUUGAGGGCUGUCUUGCAGCUUUAUGCUGCUGCUGCUUAAUCGACGAGUGCUGCUGCGAUCCCUCUAUCAUCUUCAUCUGCUCCUGAUAAUCUCUUCAUUAUAAUUAAUUAUUAAUUAGUUUAAUUAAAUUUAUAUAUUAUCUAUAAUUAUGUUGUCUAAUUGUAUUUCUGAUUUCUCGAAUAUUUGAAUGAUUCAAUAUAUAUAUAUAUAUAUAAUCACGAGUUUGUUGUAAUUACUGACCGUGAGGUCAUGGGUUCAAACCCCCGACGCCUUAGGUCACCUGCCACACAUAUAGUUAGCCUAGUGUGACUUUCUCGUCGAGCUUGGUUUGCAGGGUAUUAGGUUCGGCCGGGGGUUUACCCAGUGCGCACUUUUGGGUAGCGACUGCGGGUUCCUACGUUAUAAAAAAAAAGAAAAAAUCCGGCAAGCCAUGUUCACGCCACACUGGCAAGUAUCAGUUCCGGUGACGGAGGAUAUCCAUGACUAAAAUGAAAAUUUCUGUAUUGAUUAUUCAUUAGGUGUUAUCAUGGUUGUUUUGUAUUAAUUUUAUCUCAAAAUAAUUGUAAGCUUUAGAAAUUUAAAUAAAUUAUACCAUAUACAAAUGUUAAUAAACAAUUAGCUAGUUACAACAUUAUGGAAUAGUUGAACUUUUCACUGUAAGAAAAAAUCAUUUUUGUAAUAAAAUCUU